CUAAUGCAGUUUCUAUUAUAUACUGGAAUUGUUUUACUAGCUGAUAUUUUAGACGCUGAAAGGUACAAUCACUUUUUGCUACUUAGUUUGGGUAUGGGAAUUUUAUUAAAUGAAACCUCUUGCAUCGAAAAUAAUGAGUGUGCGAAAAUUUUUUUAAAUGAAUUCGUCAAAAACAUUUCUUGACUUUAUGACGAUUCAUUCUUAACUAUUAACUUCCACUGUCUUAGGUUAGGUUUGUAGGCAGAUCUCUGUAAAAAACAGAAGAUCUCACUUAGACAGUCUUGGCGCUAUCCAUUGUGGUACCAAUAAAACUCUCUGUGGAUCAAAGACCUUUAGGAUUCAGCAAAACGCUUGGAAUCCGAUACAAAUUUCUUAAGACGGCUAAUAUCGAUUCUAGCCAAUUCGCUAGGAUCGCCGAAAGAGGGCCUUCCGAGGUGUUUCAACCUCAGUCUGGCAAAAGCUGGACAAUGAAGAAGGAAAUGCUUAGAUGAUUCCAUCUCGCCUUCCUCCAUACAGCUUUGGCAACUUGCAUCUGUCACGAUCCCAAGUCUGACCGCAUGGGUACCCAUUGGACAAUGUCAGUAAGCACACCCAUGAUGACGCUAAGAUAGACCCUGUCCAGAGAAAGCAGUUGAAAGGACCGCUUACGUUCCAUAGAGAACGAUCGACAGCCUUGAUUUUCCCCCAAUUCCCCCAGUAGGUCGUUCACUACCAGGAUCCAGAGCAAAGGGGAGAGAACGCCGUCUUGCGGGGUACUCCUAUUUACAGUCCGAAGCGCAUUUGCACUUCCCCACUCUGCAAAGACAGUUCUGUCGCUGAGCAGACUGUAGAUGAGAUGCUUAAGGUUCGCUUCUACCCCAAAAUCGUCUAAUGCACCAAUGACCGCUUCCGGUCUAACAAUAUUAAAGGCCCCCUCGAUAUCGAGGAAGGUACCUACCGCGUAAUCAUUAUUUAAGAGGGCUUCUUCUAUCCACUACACUACAUAGUGUAAGGCGGUGUCCACCGACCUACCCUUACAGUAGGCGUGUUGAACUUUAAUAAAUUUAUUUCUGAGGAUUUUGCCCCUUAUGUACAGAUCCAUGAGCCUCUCCAGCGUCUUCAAGAGGAUCGAGGAGAGGCUAAUAGGCCUGAAAUCUUUUGCAGUAACAUGAGAGCUUUUUCCAGCCUUUGGGAUGAAAGACACCUUAACCUGCCUCCAAGCCUCCGGAAUAUGACCCAAUCUGACGCAAUUCGCGAAGAUCGGGGCCAGCCAGCUGCAUGAUACCUUGGUCGCUGUAGCUGCGCAGGUAUAAUGCCAUCUAGUCCGGGGGACUUGAAAGGUUUGAAAGAGUUCAACGACCAGGUUAGGUGGCGAUCAUCCAGAAGGCUUUCGAAGGCGCUUUCACCUCCUUGAAGCUCUCCGAGGGAAGCUCUUUCCGCUAUUUGGUUUUUUGGGAAAUGAGCAUCCAAAAGUAGCUUUAGUGACUCCUCACUGCUCGAGGUCCACUCACCAGCACCGUUCCUCAAUUAACCCACGGAUAUUGGGCUCUUGGACAGAAUACGCCUUCGCAGUAGGCUCUCCAAGAAGAUCGUUUGGCCUUCUUUAUUUCGGACUUAAAAAUGGCAAGUCCGACCUUAUACAAAGCCCAGUCGUCAGCUAGACCACUUUUACGGGCUUUAUUGAAGAAUCUUCGACUAGAAGCUGGACAAGCUCUGUCCAGGUUGAAACUGAUAUACCUAUGGUCUGAGAAGGAGUGAUCAUUGAGAAAAUUCCACCCCGAGAUCAAAUGUACGAUGUCUCUAGAUACCAAGGUAAGGUCGAGGACUUCCUCCCUACCCUCAGUCACGAACGUAGGGGAGUUCCCCCUAUUGCAUAUAAAUAAGUCAACACUACUAAUAAAAUCAAAGAGCGACUCACCUCUAACAUUUAUGUCCGAGCUUCCCCAGACCGUAUGUCUUGAGUUGGCAUCCGAGCCAAUGAUGGCGUUGACUCUCCUACGCCUGGCCUCCCAGAGAGCCUCUCUCAGUAAAACGGGAGGUAGUUCCACCUCGUCGUCGUGCGGCAUAUAAGCCGAGAUUAGCCAGAGUUCUCCGGCAUCACCCUCUAAUCUGGGUAAAAGAUUGUCCAUUCCUAGACGAAGCAAUAGGUUGGCGGAUGCCGCCUUUGCAUGUUGGAGAUUAUUUUGCAGGAUCAUCAUCCUCCAUGGAGGGAAUUGAUGCCCAAAAGGGAAUUGAUACCUUGUCGCGGUGCAGGGGCUUAGUCGUUGCUCAGCCGGCUGCCAUCUGACUGCCAUGGAAAUUCUAAUAGGGUCUUUGUGUCUAGUCAGGUGGUAGCCGUGGGAGCUGCGAUGACCAAGAUCUGCCACCUCCUAAUCCAGGGUGUUAUGCGACUCCCGUGCCCAUUGGAUGGUUUGCAGCCAGGAGGAACAUCCGGCUGUAUUCUAACGGAGCCUUCCCAACACCAGGCCGCAUUGGGAAGUAACUGUGGCCUUACCACGUCGUGGGGCUCUGGCGUGGCGGACCUACCCCUUCCCCACAGUAAAAAUAGUCCAGGAGGCUAACUUUAUGUUAGCCAAAUGGUCGUAAGAAUCAGUAUGGCUAAAUCAAACAAAAAACAAAACAACAAACAAAACCAAGCAGCGAUAAGGGUACUCCCAGCUCAGGGAGAAUACCACGCUUCCUUGAUGCUCUAACGGCAGAGGAGCGUUCGCUGUUCGAGGAGUACGCGAAAGAUGACGACGUGCCCUCAACGAGCAGCGGCAGAGUAGGCAAGCCACUACUCCAGGCAUCCCAGGCGGGAAAUAACCCAAUGGAGGUUCGAGCGAGUACGAACCCCAACAAUGUACCCUCUAUCGCAGAAGAUAAAGGCAAGGAGCCGGCGAAGAAACGGCCAGAAAAACAAACUGAGCCCAACAGGAGACGGAGGCACAGGAGGGGUAAGUACCCUCCGCUACCUGAGGCAGGAUGUCCAGGUGGUCCAGACGAUCCCCGUAGAAUUGGAAUGAGCGGGGCCACUGUAAAGUGGUACCUUCGACACUAAGACGAGGGAAAAUCGCCUGAAGUAGUCAAGGAACUUGCCCUUGGCAGAAUACGAGGCAACGGAGGAAACAACGCCAAAAAAUCGCCUGUAACAAAAGGCUCGCAGGAUAACACUGGCACCAGGCGGCAAGUCAGAGAUGAAAGAGCUGGCAAACGUGACAGAAGCCAGGUAACGCCACAAGAAUUACCAAAUUCAAAACGGCGUAGACCAGCCACGGUUCCGGAGUCGAGCGGGCAAGCUAGUUCCGAAGAAGCGUCCAGGGUAGUAGAUAGCCAGCGCAGGUAUGCGGACACUCUUAUGAGCGUACGCAUUGCAGUACUGCCGCUUAACUACCCAGAGAUAGCUCUGGUCCCGGCCCAACUUACCGUCCUCCAAAACCGUAUUAUGAAACGGUAGCGCUGAUGAGCCUCUUGAAUUCACCAUGGAGCUGAUAACGGCACAAAAUGAGGGAAUUAACACCUCAGCUUGGCGAAUCUUAGACAGUAAAAAAGAAGACUCCAGUAUAAGACUCUACGUCGGGAUAGACGACGUAUUUUAUAAAAUACUCCAGAAGGCGGGUUUCCGCCUAAACUUCAGGUUUAGCGCUGUCCACAUGCGCCCUUGGCGGCCCAAGCCCGCGGAAGAAAGGGGGAAGGAAGGCGCCAAAGUGCAAGGUGGAGCGGAGACGAAUGUAAAAUCCGCCCCCUUGGUUCCCGCCGUGCAGGUGUCUACUGCCGAUGUCAUGGACACCACGGAAGCGCUUCCUAAAGAGUCAACAGAGGUGGCACCCUCUACUCAGGAGCUUUUGGAGGGGAUGGAGGAGCUAGUCGCAGCAGAUAGUAAAGCAAGCGAGCCCAUACUAUGAUGGACUCCAGUUUAGAAGUUGCUCAGGUGAACCUGCAUCAUGCAAUGGCUGCAUCGGCGGUUAUCGCCAGCAGGUUCCUUAAAGACAAACUGAGCAUCAUCUUAGCCCAGGAACCCUGGGUUUUCAGAGGGGAGGUCAGAGGAUUAAACACUGACAACAAGAAGAGUUUCUAACACAGGACCUGGUGGAUGUACAAACAAGGGACAAGGAGGAAAAGGAAGUUGUCGUAGUGUCAGCCUAUUUCCCAGGAGGUAUCACAGUUGUGCCCUCCUCAACUGUGGAGAAAUUACUGGACUACUGCAGGGUACACAAGCUUCCACUUAUCCUAGGAUGUGAUGCCAAUGCACACCAUGUGGAAUGGGGUAGCUCGGACUGCAACCCAAGGGUUUUUACGGACGAUGUUGCCCAGAUAUACUCCUGGAAAGGAACGAAGACGAAAAAUCGGCAAAAGCACUUAGUGUGACGACAGCAUUAAGGCAGGCAUACCAUCAAAAAUUCCCUACCGCUGCCACGGAUAUGGAAUUCGAGCGGACUACAUUGAAUUUUUUCCAACACGCCAGCAACAGAAUAAAAAAAAGAAUUGAAUGCGAAAACAAAAUAAAUAUGUCAUCGUAGAUUUAUUAGUUCUUAUAUUAUUCUAAAAUUCUAAUAAAAAUAAAAAUCAAUUUCAAAACUUAAUUUCAACCAGUUCUUAU